AACGAACGCUGGCGGCAUGCCUAACACAUGCAAGUCGAACGAUCCCUCCGGGGAUAUUGGCGCACGGGUUCGUAACGCGUGGGAACCUGCCCUUAGGUUCGGCAUACCUCAGAGACAUUUGAGCUAUUACCGGAUAAUGUCUUCGACCAAAAGAUUUAUCGGCGUUGAUUGGGCCCGCGUUGGAUUAGCUUGUUGGUGGGGUAAAGGCCUAACAAGGCCAAGAUCCAUAGUUGGUCGGAGAGGAUGAUCAGCAACACUGGGAAUGAGACCAGGCCCAGACUCCUAAGGGAGGCAGCAGGGGGGAAUAAUGGACAAAGGGCGAAAGCCUGAUCCAGCAAUGCCGCGUGAGUGAUGAAGGCCUUAGGGUUGUAAAGCUCUUUUACCCGGGAUGAUAAUGACAGUACCGGGAGAAUAAGCCCCGGCUAACUCCGUG
rnacentral:rRNA from 1 species